rnacentral:rRNA from 1 species
UACGGAGGAUGCAAGCGUUAUCCGGAAUGAUUGGGCGUAAAGCGUCCGCAGGUGGCUGUGUAAGUCUGCUGUUAAAGAGUCUAGCUCAACUAGAUAAGAGCAGUGGAAACUACACGGCUAGAGUACGUUCGGGGCAGAGGGAAUUCCUGGUGUAGCGGUGAAAUGCGUAGAGAUCAGGAAGAACACCGGUGGCGAAGGCGCUCUGCUGGACUGCAACUGACACUCAGGGACGAAAGCUAGGGGAGCGAAUGGG